rnacentral:rRNA from 2 species
AUUGAACGCUGGCGGCAGGCCUAACACAUGCAAGUCGAACGGUAACAGGAAGAAGCUUGCUUCUUUGCUGACGAGUGGCGGACGGGUGAGUAAUGUCUGGGAAACUGCCUGAUGGAGGGGGAUAACUACUGGAAACGGUAGCUAAUACCGCAUAACGUCGCAAGACCAAAGAGGGGGACCUUCGGGCCUCUUGCCAUCGGAUGUGCCCAGAUGGGAUUAGCUAGUAGGUGGGGUAACGGCUCACCUAGGCGACGAUCCCUAGCUGGUCUGAGAGGAUGACCAGCCACACUGGAACUGAGACACGGUCCAGACUCCUACGGGAGGCAGCAGUGGGGAAUAUUGCACAAUGGGCGCAAGCCUGAUGCAGCCAUGCCGCGUGUAUGAAGAAGGCCUUCGGGUUGUAAAGUACUUUCAGCGGGGAGGAAGGGAGUAAAGUUAAUACCUUUGCUCAUUGACGUUACCCGCAGAAGAAGCACCGGCUAACUCCGUGCCAGCAGCCGCGGUAAUACGGAGGGUGCAAGCGUUAAUCGGAAUUACUGGGCGUAAAGCGCACGCAGGCGGUUUGUUAAGUCAGAUGUGAAAUCCCCGGGCUCAACCUGGGAACUGCAUCUGAUACUGGCAAGCUUGAGUCUCGUAGAGGGGGGUAGAAUUCCAGGUGUAGCGGUGAAAUGCGUAGAGAUCUGGAGGAAUA